GACGAACGCUGGCGGCGUGCUUAACACAUGCAAGUCGAGCGGAAAGGCCACUUCGGUGGUACUCGAGCGGCGAACGGGUGAGUAACACGUGAGUAAUCUGCCCCUGGCUUUGGGAUAGCCACCGGAAACGGUGAUUAAUACCGGAUAUGACCACGUCUCGCCUGGGGUGGGGUGGAAAGUUUUUCGGCCAGGGAUGUGCUCGCGGCCUAUCAGCUUGAUGGUGAGGUAAUGGCUCACCAUGGCUUCGACGGGUAGCCGGCCUGAGAGGGUGACCGGUCACACUGGGACUGAGACACGGCCCAGACUCCUACGGGAGGCAGCAGUGGGGAAUAUUGGACAAUGGGCGGAAGCCUGAUCCAGCAACGCCGCGUGAGGGAUGACUGCCUUCGGGUUGUAAACCUCUUUCAGUACCGACGAAGCGCAAGUGACGGUAGGUACAGAAGAAGCACCGGCCAACUACGUGCCAGCAGCCGCCGUAAAAC
rnacentral:rRNA from 1 species